UACGUAGGUGGCAAGCGUUGUUCGGAAUUACUGGGCGUAAAGGGCGCGUAGGCGGCCACCGCACGUCGGUUGUGAAAUCUCUGGGCUUAACCCAGAAAGGUCAACCGAUACUGCGGGGCUAGAGUGCAGAAGGGGCAACUGGAAUUCUCGGUGUAGCGGUGAAAUGCGUAGAUAUCGAGAGGAACACCUGCGGCGAAGGCGGGUUGCUGGGCUGACACUGACGCUGAAGCGCGAAAGCUAGGGGAGCGAACGGG
rnacentral:rRNA from 1 species